rnacentral:rRNA from 1 species
CACUCCGACCGGGGAAUACGGUCGCAAGACUAAAACUCAAAGGAAUUGACGGGGACCCGCACAAGCGGUGGAGCAUGUGGUUUAAUUCGAUGCAACGCGAAAAACCUUACCACUCCUUGACAUGGAGAUUAGAUCCUUCUUAACGGAAGGGCGCAGUUCGGCUGGAUCUCGCACAGGUGCUGCAUGGCUGUCGUCAGCUCGUGUCGUGAGAUGUUGGGUUAAGUCCCGCAACGAGCGUAACCCUCAUCCUUAGUUGCCAGCGGGUUAUGCCGGGCACUUUAAGGAAACUGCCAGUGGUAAACUGGAGGAAGGUGGGGAUGAUGUCAAGUCAGCACGGCCCUUAUGGGGUGGGCUACACACGUGCUACAAUGGUGACUACAAUAGGUUGCAUGGUCGCAAGAA